UAGACCUUCCUGACAUGUUUGCAGUCAAUAAUAUCUCUGGGCUGCAGUUCCUGUUGUCACGUGGAAACCCUAUUUACACAUAGCAAGAGCUCCCAAACUGAAAAAUGAUGGGAAGAGGCUUAUAUGUUCCACCGAUCAGGAUAAAUGCAAGAAUGCCAAAUUUUACACCUCGGCUCGGAAAACAGGUCAGUAAAAAUUGGAGAGGCAGAGAGAACCAUGAAACAAUCUUUCCAUUUGGAAGCCAGCUAAUGGGAACACCCAUCGGACCAACACCAAGUGCUAGACCAGCAUUUAUUGCUCAUCCCUAAUUGCUCAGAGGACGGUUAAGAGUCAACCACAUUGCUGUGGGG